rnacentral:SRP_RNA from 1 species
GCUGGGCAUGGUGGUGCAUGCCUGUAGUCCCAGUUACUUGGGAAGCUGAGGUGGGUGGAUUGCUUGAGCCCAGGAGAUUGAGAAUGUAGUGAUCCGUGAUCAUGCCACUGCAUACCAGCAGCCUGGGCAACAGAGUUAGAUCCUGUCUCAA